GUGGAAUCUUGGGGGUACCCAAGGUCGGCUUCUUCGCAUUGACUGUGGAUGGUACCUGGCACAGAGCCUCUGGUGGCUCGUGGGGAGCUUGGGGGUCCGCAGGGUGAGGGCGGAGGGGAGUGUCAGUGUCAGAGUGUGAGUGGGGUACGGGAGUUCUAAACUUAGUCUUGAGGCCCUCGGGUCUCCCGUGCCGGGGAAGGGAGCUCGGGCCGCCAUGCGCGACAGGACCCACGAACUGAGGCAGGGGGAUGACAGUUCGGACGAUGAGGACAAGGAGCGGGUCGCGCUGGUGGUACACCCGGGCACAGUACGGCUGGGGAGCCCGGACGAUGAGUUCUUCCAAAAGGUCUGGACAAUUCGACAGACUAUUGUCAAGCUGGAGAAUAAAGUCCGAGAGUUGGAGAAGCAGCAGGUCACCAUCCUGGCCACGCCCCUUCCCGAGGAGAGUAUGAAGCAGGACCUGCAGAACCUGCGUGAUGAGAUCAAACAGUUGGGGAGGGAGAUCCGAGCGCAGCUGAAGGCCAUAGAGCCCCAGAAGGAGGAAGCUGAUGAGAAUUAUAACUCAGUCAACACAAGGAUGAAAAAAACCCAGCAUGGGGUCCUGUCCCAGCAAUUCGUGGAGCUCAUCAACAAGUGCAACUUGAUGCAGUCGGAAUAUCGGGAGAAGAAUGUGGAGCGGAUUCGGAGGCAGCUGAAGAUCACAAAUGCUGGAAUGGUGUCUGACGAAGAGCUGGAGCAGAUGCUGGACAGUGGGCAGAGUGAGGUGUUUGUAUCCAAUAUACUGAAGGACACACAAGUGACUCGACAGGCCCUAAAUGAGAUCUCAGCCCGGCACAGUGAGAUCCAGCAGCUUGAACGCAGUAUCCGUGAACUUCAUGAGAUCUUCACUUUUCUGGCUACUGAAGUGGAGGUGCAGGGGGAGAUGAUCAACCGGAUUGAGAAAAACAUCCUGAGCUCAGCAGACUAUGUGGAACGGGGGCAGGAACAUGUCAAGAUGGCCCUGGAGAACCAGAAGAAGGCACGGAAGAAAAAAGUUUUGAUCGCCAUCUGUCUGUCUGUCACUGUCCUCAUUGUGGCAGUGAUCAUUGGUGUCUCCAUAUUGGUUUGAGAACAUCGCACGUUCUUGGUCCCUGCUGCUGAUGACGCUGCUGCUCCAAGCCGCCCUUGCCCAGCCCAUCUGGCCACAGUACCGCUUGCUUCGGCUACACACAUAUAGUUGCUGGGGUGACACGAGUCAUGGAAGGGCUGGACGUGUGUCCCUCGGUGCAGUCUCAUUCUCCGCCCCUGGGCCUGGCCUGGGGGAAGGAGCCGGGGGGUGGGGUUAGGCCCCGAUGAUCCCUGCCUGCUCUGCCUCCAUCCAUCUGGGCUCCCGCCUGCAGCGCCUCCCCGUGGCCCUCAAGUGACCCUGGCGCGGCUGUUGCAAGGCGCCUGCGCCAGAUCCAGGUCCAAGCGUAAGCUUGGCUCUGAGUCUAGGAGGCGUGGCCUUGUGGGAAUUGGAAAAUGAUUGGCCAGCGGAACUAAAUGUUGUUCCUAAAGCGCAUCGGGAUUGGCCUGUUAGACGUCCUGGGGAAGUGAACACUGGGUAUUAAACCACAAUUAACCAAAGGCUGAUAUGGGAGGGGCCUCAGCGAGUCCUCAGUUGCACCCAAAAGUGAUUGGAUCACAGGGCGUCGGGGGCAUGAUCAAAACUCUAACAGGCGGAGGGGCACGAACUUGUGAGUCUGCCUGGGGUAGUGAGUCUGGGACUUCACCCAAGAAGGCGUGGCUGGGUCCCUCUCCCUCUUCGCUGAACUGGGCAGCUGUGCAAGUCUUGGAGGGUACCCAUUCCUCCGUCCUGCCUGAGAUCGUGUAUCCCGUGUACAGAUGAAGCCCUAGACAUCUACAGGAAAGGUGUGCAAACACAAUCUGGAUGUCGGCUCAAUGGGAAAACUGCGAGGUAGGACGGAUCCUGCCCCAGUAGAAGACUGAUUUGAAUACGGGGCCUCUGGGUUUCCCUAAUUCUCCCUCUCUUCCCCUGCGGCCUGCAUCUUCAGCGGAACUCUGUCCUGUUGUUCGCCUUUGCCCACGCACUCACCUUUCUGCCUUCAGAGGAAAACUGCACGACCUGUGGCACCUACUGGGAUCUGAUAGGAGACUAUCAGACCAAGGCAAAGACUGUGUCACAUCUACGCAGCUGGGUAAUGCAGCUGGGUAUCCGUGUGGGGUAUGUGACUUCUGAUCGGUUUUGCUAGACGGCGUCACCCCUGAAAGCCUGUUUACCUCUCUGUCUCACCCAGGAAGCUGUGCAGAACCUCCUGAAAGAGGUAGCUAGAUGGCCCAGUGAGGUCUCGGAUGCUGGCCUGGUAGUUUGAACUUUUCCUGUGGGCUAGGGGACACAUGGAAGGGUUUUGAACAGAUUGAGGCUGUUCCUCCAGACUGGAUUCUGGAAGGAAGAUGAUAUAGAACAGAGCCACAGCUGUCCCAUGGAAGAUGUUGUACAACAUCCUCUGGCGCUUCCCAAGUGAAAUUGGAAAUUGGCCCCUGUACACAGAGGGCAGGGGAAAUCAAACAAAAAGACAGGGCCACUGCAGAUUGAGACUCUCUAUUCAGUUCUCCUUUCCUGUCUCCAAGACAACUGGCAUACCAAAAUGAGCUGUGGUGGUGCUACAAGGUCUGAGGCUUUGCCCCACAAAUGGCACUAUUACAAAGGACUUGUUCAAAAGGAAAAAAGAGAAAGUAAAACCCAAACUUCCCUUAAGUGUAUGGAUGUCUGCCCUCCCAAGAAGCCCCAACAUAAUGGAUAGUAAGUGGAAAUUCUGUGUUUGUGAAUGGGUACAGCUGCAUGAAACAGAGACGCAAACUAACCAUGGCAUGACGUCAUCAGUACCCAUGAACAACAACAACAAAAUAGUAAAUUA